UCAUAAGACACACGCGGCUCU
rnacentral:miRNA from 3 species